rnacentral:rRNA from 1 species
GAUGAACGCUAGCUACAGGCUUAACACAUGCAAGUCGAGGGGAAACGAUAGAGAAAGCUUGCUUUUUCUAGGCGUCGACCGGCGCACGGGUGAGUAACGCGUAUCCAACCUGCCCAUCACUUGGGGAUAACCUUGCGAAAGUAAGACUAAUACCCAAUGACGUCCAUAGAAGACAUCUGAAAUGGAUUAAAGAUUUAUCGGUGAUGGAUGGGGAUGCGUCUGAUUAGCUUGUUGGCGGGGUAACGGCCCACUAAGGCGACGAUCAGUAGGGGUUCUGAGAGGAAGGUACCCCACAUUGGAACUGAGACACGGUCCAAACUCCUACGGGAGGCAGCAGUGAGGAAUAUUGGUCAAUGGACGAGAGUCUGAACCAGCCAAGUAGCGUGCAGGAUGACGGCCCUAUGGGUUGUAAACUGCUUUUAUAAGGGAAUAAAGUGGGAGUCGUGACUCCUUUUGCAUGUACCUUAUGAGUAAGGACCGGCUAAUUCCGUGCCAGCCGCCCGCAGUAA